UGGGGAAUAUUGGACAAUGGGCGAAAGCCUGAUCCAGCCAUGCCGCGUGUGUGAAGAAGGUCUUCGGAUUGUAAAGCACUUUAAGUUGGGAGGAAGGGCAUUAACCUAAUACGUUAGUGUUUUGACGUUACCGACAGAUUAAGCACCGGCUAACUCUGUGCCAGCAGCCGCGGUAAUACAGAGGGGGCAAGCGUUAAUCGGAAUUACUGGGCGUAAAGCGCGCGUAGGUGGUUUGUUAAGUUGGAUGUGAAAUCCCCGGGCUCAACCUGGGAACUGCAUUCAAAACUGACUGACUAGAGUAUGGUAGAGGGUGGUGGAAUUUCCUGUGUAGCGGUGAAAUGCGUAGAUAUAGGAAGGAACACCAGUGGCGAAGGCGACCACCUGGACUAAUACUGACACUGAGGUGCGAAAGCGUGGGGAGCAAACA
rnacentral:rRNA from 1 species